rnacentral:rRNA from 1 species
UGGGGAAUUUUGGACAAUGGGCGAAAGCCUGAUCCAGCCAUUCCGCGUGAGUGAAGAAGGCCUUCGGGUUGUAAAGCUCUUUCGCAAGGGAAGAAACGUUACUGGUGAAUAACCAGUGAUAAUGACGGUACCUUGAUAAGAAGCACCGGCUAACUACGUGCCAGCAGCCGCGGUAAUACGUAGGGUGCGAGCGUUAAUCGGAAUUACUGGGCGUAAAGCGUGCGCAGGCGGUUUUGUAAGUCAGAUGUGAAAUCCCCGAGCUCAACUUGGGAACUGCGCUUGAAACUACAAGACUAGAAUAGGUCAGAGGGGGGUAGAAUUCCACGUGUAGCAGUGAAAUGCGUAGAGAUGUGGAGGAAUAUCAAUGGCGAAGGCAGCCCCCUGGGAUCAUAUUGACGCUCAUGCACGAAAGCGUGGGGAGCAAACA